rnacentral:rRNA from 1 species
UCCUACGGGAGGCAGCAGUGGGGAAUAUUGGACAAUGGGGGCAACCCUGAUCCAGCCAUGCCGCGUGUGUGAAGAAGGCCCUCGGGUUGUAAAGCACUUUCAGCGAGGAAGAACGCCUAGCGGUUAAUACCCGCUAGGAAAGACAUCACUCGCAGAAGAAGCACCGGCUAACUCCGUGCCAGCAGCCGCGGUAAUACGGAGGGUGCAAGCGUUAAUCGGAAUUACUGGGCGUAAAGCGCGCGUAGGUGGCUUGAUAAGCCGGUUGUGAAAGCCCCGGGCUCAACCUGGGAACGGCAUCCGGAACUGUCAAGCUAGAGUGCAGGAGAGGAAGGUAGAAUUCCCGGUGUAGCGGUGAAAUGCGUAGAGAUCGGGAGGAAUACCAGUGGCGAAGGCGGCCUUCUGGACUGACACUGACACUGAGGUGCGAAAGCGUGGGUAGCAAACAGGAUUAGAUACCCUGGUAGUCCACGCCGUAAACGAUGUCGACCAGCCGUUGGGUGCCUAGCGCACUUUGUGGCGAGGUUAACGCGAUAAGUCGACCGCCUGGGGAGUACGGCCGCAAGGUUAAAACUCAAAUGAAUUGACGG